CACGCCGUAAACGAUGCGCACAAGGUUCACGAGACUCUGACGUCGAGUGAGCCGAAACAAAAGUGUUAAGUGCGCCGCCUGGGGAGUACGGCCGCAAGGCUAAAACUCAAAGGAAUUGACGGGGGCUCACACAAGCGGUGGAGCAUGUGGCUUAAUUCGAAGCAACGCGAAGAACCUGACCUGGGUUUGACAUGCAUGGAUUAGUUCUGUGAAAGCAGAAUGACGCGGCUUGCCGUGGAACAUGCACAGGUGC
rnacentral:rRNA from 1 species